UACGUAGGGGGCUAGCGUUGUCCGGAAUCAUUGGGCGUAAAGAGCGUGUAGGCGGCCCGGUAAGUCCGCUGUAAAAGUCAAAGGCUCAACCUUUGAAUGUCAGUGGAUACUGCCGGGCUAGAGUCCGGAAGAGGCGAGUGGAACUCCUGGUGUAGCGGUGGAAUGCGCAGAUAUCGGGAGGAACACCAGUGGCGAAGGCGGUUGCCUGGAGCUUUGCUGACGCUGAGGCGCGAAAGCGUGGGGAGCGAUCCGG
rnacentral:rRNA from 1 species